AAUUAUCAUCUGCAAAAAUUUGCUCAAUACUGUAGUUAGGUUCCUUCUUCAUAGAAAGGAUGAUAAUGGUGUGUGAGGCUACUAAAGGCCCAGAAGAGGAGGAAAAUGGUGCUAUCAAAGUGUCGGAUCGACCGUGGGUACUAUAACCAAUAGAAUCGAUGAUUUACCAGAGAUGGACUAAGCCAUGCGCAAUCUUGAUGACCAUGGACUUGAGAUGGGAGAAGGACAUGGUUUCAGAGGACUCAACAUCAAUGAGGGCAAGUUUGUAUGGAUAAGAAUAAUAGUUUCUAAAGAGGAAAGAGACCAUGGUGAGAUUUGGGUCUCUGGGUAAUACCAGAGGUGGUUUGAGUGACUUGAAAACUCCAUCAUGAUCAUACCCAUAUUUCUCCAUUGCAAAUUAAGCAAGAGAAGAGUGAUGGGUAAUUGGGUAGGUGUUUUGAUGGAAAGAUAACAAUUUAUUCAGAUUUGGGGCAAAUGGGUAACACUAUAUGUUUGUCUCUAGUUUUUCGUUAUAUUUUGACUUCAAGUUCAAGUCAGUUUGUUGACCGCCAAGUGUGCUUCCUGCUUUUAUUUUUGAUUUCUUGGAUCUUGCAGCCCUAAAGGCUUCUCUAAGUAUGUAUGUUUUCUAGCUCAAAGAAAGAAAAAUUCAGGUUGUUAGACUCGAAUUAUACUUCUGCAAUGUAUCACAAGAACAAAACCAAGAAGCAUUUAAUAGGAAAUCAGUAGUGAAAAUAUAAAUUAACACCAAACUUUUUACAAACCACAGCCCUGCAUUAGUAAUUUUUCAAUGAAUAUGUGCACGGAGAUGAAGUGCGGUUUCUAAAAAUGGGUGCCAACUUCACCCCCUUAGAUGAAUUCGAAUUGGGGUAUUCAAAUAUCUAAAAUUUGUUUUCUCUUCUUGUUUGCAGGUAUCGCCUGUUUUGGCCUUAGUUUUGUACUUGCCCUUUUCCCUUGCUCAAUUUCAUCCUUUCAAACGAAGCAAACAAGGAAGACACCAAAUUUCAUUUUGCGAACGAAAUAAACAAAGAAAGUUACCACUUGGUAGUUCGAGUUUUCAAGAAACAUGCACUUGGCUUAUUUUGAAUAAACCUGUUUAGUAUUAGCUUACUAAUACUUUUGAGAAAUCUAAUUGAAAAUUGCCUUU